GGCGGACGGGUGAGUAACGCGUGGGUAACCUGCCUCACACUGGGGGACAACAGUUGGAAACGACUGCUAAUACCGCAUAAGCCCACGGUACCGCAUGAUACUGAGGGAAAAGGAUUUAUUCGCUUUAGGAUGGACUCGCGUCCAAUUAGCUAGUUGGUGAGGGAACGGCCCACCAAGGCGACGAUUGGUAGCCGGACUGAGAGGUUGAACGGCCACAUUGGGACUGAGACACGGCCCAGACUCC
rnacentral:rRNA from 1 species